GUGAAUCAUCAAAUUUUUGAACGCAAAUUGCACUCUCCUCGGAGAGUAUGCCUGUUUGAGGGUCAGCCUAUAAAAAAUCGACAUUGUUGCUGUUUCGCGGUGGCGUUCGUCGGAAAUUGGGUCAUCUUAAAUCUUUUGGAUUUAAGCGACUUAAAAUUUUCUUUUUGUUUCAUUAACGUUUCUUAGGUCUAUUUCUUUUCACGGUUUAAGUAUU
rnacentral:misc_RNA from 1 species